GAUGAACGCUGGCGGCGUGCUUAACACAUGCGAGUCGAACGGAAAGGCCCAAGCUUGCUUGGGUACUCGAGUGGCGAACGGGUGAGUAACACGUGGGUGAUCUGCCCUGCACUUCGGGAUAAGCCUGGGAAACUGGGUCUAAUACCGGAUAGGACCACUUCUUGGAUGUUGUGGUGGAAAGUUUUUUCGGUGUGGGAUGAGCUCGCGGCCUAUCAGCUUGUUGGUGGGGUAAUGGCCUACCAAGGCGUCGACGGGUAGCCGGCCUGAGAGGGUGUACGGCCACAUUGGGACUGAGAUACGGCCCAGACUCCUACGGGAGGCAGCAGUGGGGAAUAUUGCACAAUGGGCGCAAGCCUGAUGCAGCGACGCCGCGUGGGGGAUGACGGCCUUCGGGUUGUAAACUCCUUUCGCUAGGGACGAAGCGUUUUUGUGACGGUACCUGGAGAAGAGGCACCGGCUAACUACGUG
rnacentral:rRNA from 1 species